rnacentral:misc_RNA from 1 species
UUUCCGUAGGUGAACCUGCGGAAGGAUCAUUAUCGAAUGUAUAGUGGAGAUCGGUUGUCGCUGGCUUCUUCAUUGAGGCAUGUGCACGCCUUUCUCUAUUACAUCCACACACACCUGUGAACUUGUGAGACGGAUAGUAGUUCCUCUGAUUUAAUUCUGGGGGGGCGAGCUCCGUCUGUCAAAUACAUAAACUCCAAUUAAAUAAAUCUGAAUGUAAUCUGAUGUAACACAUCUUUAAACUAAGUUUCAACAACGGAUCUCUUGGCUCUCGCAUCGAUGAAGAACGCAGC